rnacentral:rRNA from 1 species
UGGGGAAUUUUGGACAAUGGGCGAAAGCCUGAUCCAGCAAUGCCGCGUGUGUGAAGAAGGCCUUCGGGUUGUAAAGCACUUUUGUCCGGAAAGAAAUCCUUGGCUCUAAUACAGUCGGGGGAUGACGGUACCGGAAGAAUAAGCACCGGCUAACUACGUGCCAGCAGCCGCGGUAAUACGUAGGGUGCAAGCGUUAAUCGGAAUUACUGGGCGUAAAGCGUGCGCAGGCGGUUUGCUAAGACCGAUGUGAAAUCCCCGGGCUAACCUGGGAACUCAUUGGUGACUGGCAGGCUAGAGUAUGGCAGAGGGGUAGAAUUCCACGUGUAGCAGUGAAAUGCGUAGAGAUGUGGAGGAAUACCGAUGGCGAAGGCAGCCCCCUGGGCCAAAUACUGACGCUCAUGCACGAAAGCGUGGGGAGCAAACAGGAUUAGA